rnacentral:rRNA from 1 species
CCUACGGGAGGCUGCAGUGGGGAAUAUUGGACAAUGGGGGAAACCCUGAUCCAGCGACGCCGCGUGAGUGAAGAAGUAUUUCGGUACGUAAAGCUCUAUCAGCAGGAAAGCAAAUGACGGUACCUGACUCAGAAGCCCCGGCUAACUACGUGCCAGCAGCCGCGGUAAUACGUAGGGGGCAAGCGUUAUCCGGAUUUUCUGGGUGUAAAGGGAGCGUAGACGGCAGCGCAAGUCUGGAGUGAAAUGCCGGGGCCCAACCCCGGAACUGCUCUGGAAACUGUGAAGCUUGAGUGCAGGAGAGGUAAGCGGAAUGCGUGGUGUAGCGGUGAAAUGCGUAGAUAUCAGGAGGAACACCGGCGGCGAAGGCGGCUUACUGGACUGGAACUGACGUUGAGGCUCGAAGGCGUGGGGAUCGAACAGGAUUAGAUACCCGUGUAGUC